UACAAAGCCUAAUUGCAGAAGAGAAUGCAG
rnacentral:piRNA from 1 species